rnacentral:rRNA from 1 species
CAGCAGCCGCGGUAAUACGUAGGGUGCAAGCGUUAAUCGGAAUUACUGGGCGUAAAGCGCACGUAGGCGGAUUGGUCAGUUAGGGGUGAAAUCCCGGGGCUCAACCCCGGAACUGCCUUUAAUACUGCCAAUCUAGAGUCCGAGAGAGGUGAGUGGAAUUCCGAGUGUAGAGGUGAAAUUCGUAGAUAUUCGGAGGAACACCAGUGGCGAAGGCGGCUCACUGGCUCGGUACUGACGCUGAGGUGCGAAAGCGUGGGGAGCA